CAGUAGCCGCGGGAAUACGUAGGUGGCAAGCGUUGUCCGGAAUUAUUGGGCGUAAAGGGCUCGCAGGCGGUUUCUUAAGUCUGAUGUGAAAGCCCCCGGCUCAACCGGGGAGGGUCAUUGGAAACUGGGAAACUUGAGUGCAGAAGAGGAGAGUGGAAUUCCACGCGUAGCGGUGAAAUGCGUAGAGAUGUGGAGGAACACCAGUGGCGAAGGCGACUCUCUGGUCUGUAACUGACGCUGAGGAGCGAAAGCGUGGGGAGCGAACAGGAUUAGAUACCCGCGUAGUCCCUGUCUCUUAUAC
rnacentral:rRNA from 1 species